CAUGAUUCUAUGAAGCACUGUACACUCACAGCUGCAAUGUGAUGUUUUGCAUAAUGGCAGUUCAAAGUGAUGGAGGAAAUCAUGCCAAGCAGUGCACUCAGAAUUAUCUGCCUUAUAUGCUGAUACUCUUCCACGCUAUCAAGUUUGUCUGGUUGUAUGGUCUGGAGAAAGCCAGUAUUCCUACUGUGCUGCCUAAAUCCAGGACACCAUGUGACAUUCCACACCUGCCUCUUACCCACUCCCACCAGAUCGAGUCAGUGCAGUGUCUGUAUGAAGUCUUCUUAUAAACCAGCAGAACAGUCUGGAAAAAAUAAAUUUGAAAAUGUGCUUUUUCAAGAAACCCAGAAAACAUGAGACUUUCUUAAGGAAAUUAAUCUAAGAAAUUAAUCGUACAGGUGAUUACCUGGCCUGAGAAACAACUCAUGUUAUUUCUUGUGGAAACCAACCUGCAACGUGCUGUUGGGGCGAGAACAGAGGAGGCCACAAAGAUGAUCUAAGGGCUGGAGCACCGCUGCUAUGGAGUCAAGGAUGGGAGGGCUGAGGGUGUUCAGCCUGAAGAAGUGAAUGGUCUAGGGAGACCUUAGAGUCCCUUCCAAUGCCUAAAGGGGCUCCAAGAGACCCAGAGAGGGUCUUUGGACAAGGGCAUGUACUGAUAGGUCAAGGGGGAAAGGUUUUAAACCGAAAGAGGAGAGAUUUCCAUUAGAUGUUAGAGAGAAAUGUUUCUCUGUGACA